rnacentral:rRNA from 1 species
AGUGAACGUUGGCGGCGUGGAUUAGGCAUGCAAGUCGAGCGGUAAGGCCCCUUCGGGGGUACACGAGCGGCGAAAGGGAGAGGAAUACGCGGGUACCUGCCCUCAGGCCCGGGAUAACCAGGGGAAACUCUGGCUAAUACCGGAUAACAUCUCCGGAUCAAAGGUGUGAUUCCGCCUGGGGAUGGGCCCACGUCCUAUUAGCUAGUUGGUGAGGUAACGGCUCACCAAGGCCACGAUGGGUACGAGGUGUGAGAGCAUGACCUCGCUCACUGGGACUGAGACACUGCCCAGACACCUACGGGUGGCUGCAGUCGAGAAUCUUCGGCAAUGGGCGCAAGCCUGACCGAGCGACGCCGCGUACGGGAUGAAGGCCUUCGGGUUGUAAACCGUUGUCAGAGGGGAGGAAAUCUUGUUGGGUUCUCCCAGCAAGUUGACCUAGCCUCAGAGGAAGGACGGGCUAAGUUCGUGCCAGCAGCCGCAGUAAUAC